CGCAAGGUUAAAACUCAAAUGAAUUGACGGGGGCCCGCACAAGCGGUGGAGCAUGUGGUUUAAUUCGAUGCAACGCGAAGAACCUUACCAAGCCUUGACAUCCUCGGAACUUUCCAGAAAUGGAUUGGUGCCUUCGGGAACCGAGUGACAGGUGCUGCAUGGCUGUCGUCAGCUCGUGUCGUGAGAUGUUGGGUUAAGUCCCGUAACGAGCGCAACCCUUGUCCUUAGUUGCCAGCACUUCGGGUGGGAACUCUAAGGAGACUGCCGGUGACAAACCGGAGGAAGGUGGGGACGACGUCAAAUCAUCACGGCCCUUACGUCCUGGGCUACACACGUGCUACAAUGGUCGGUACAGAGAGCAGCCACUACGCGAGUAGGAGCGAAUCUUCAAAACCGAUCUCAGUUCGGAUCGCAGUCUGCAACUCGACUGCGUGAAGCUGGAAUCGCUAGUAAUCGGAUAUCAGCCAUGAUCCGGUGAAUACGUUCCCGGGCCUUGUACACACCGCCCGUCAA
rnacentral:rRNA from 1 species